AUCCAUCACUCUCUCAUCACUCUUUCAUUCUCACUGAUCACUCAUCACUCAUCACUCUCUCACUCUCACUCUCUCUCUCUCACUCGCUCCGGCGCACUCAUCAUAGAUUUGUGGAUUUGGAAGAUAUCACUAAGCCUUUCAAGCAGCUUACUUAGUGAGGCAAAGACCGAGAAGUAUAAGGAUUUGCGUGCUCUUCUUCAACUCCUUUCAAGCCUUUGUGAAGCUGUCCAGGACCAGUUAUCAGCUCAGUUUUACAAGUUUGGCAGUUAUCUUUGGCAACCACACUAGCUGUCCUAGGCAUAGCAGCCUCAUUUGCUGGAAAGGCAUAUGGACAGAUCGGGCAAGGAUUACCUGUAGCUGCUUCUGGUUUAGCUGUUAUUAUGGGUCUAAAUCUCCUUGAGGUAUUGAUUCAUGUUGCUUCUUCUAUUUUGUGUAUUUUGCCACUUUCUUCAUAGGAUCUGUGGCUAAGU